rnacentral:rRNA from 1 species
CCUACGGGAGGCAGCAGUAGGGAAUAUUGGGCAAUGGACGAGAGUCUGACCCAGCCAUGCCGCGUGCAGAAAGACGGCGUUCUGCGUUGUAAACUGCUUUUAUCUGGGAAGAAAAUGCCCCUGCGGGGGAAAUUGCCGGUACCAGAUGAAUAAGCACCGGCUAACUCCGUGCCAGCAGCCGCGGUAA